rnacentral:lncRNA from 1 species
UCUUUUUUUUUUUUUUUUGGUAUCAGGGAUUGAACCCAGAGGCUCUUCACCACUGAGCCAUAUUCCCAGCCCCUUUUUAUAUUUUAUUUAGAGACAGGGUCUCGCUGAGUUGCUUAGGGUCUCACUAAGUUCCUGAGGCUGGCUCUGAACUCGUGAUCCUCCUGCCUCAGCCUCCCGACCUGCUGGGAUUACAGGUGUGUGCCACCGCACCCAGCUGAUGCUUUGAAUCUUAAGAUGCCACCAAAGAGUAAGAUUGCAAUGCAUUAGGUACUGAACCUUAAUGGAUAGGUUUAAUUAUAUUUUUUUCUGACUGCAGCAUGGUUACUGAUAAAGAAUACAAACAAAAAAAUACAGAGAGAAUAUAAACAUCAGUGAAUAUAAACUCAGAGAGCAGAGUGGCUCGUGGAGUCUCAGCUCCUAUGGACGACACUGUCAGCAUGUUUGUGUAGACCCUUUAUUCAUCUUGAAGACAUUGAAGUCAGGUGUCUUUGGGUUGGUGUGGCAUUUCCUCCCUUCCUUCCCUCACUCUUUACUGGACUGGGGCGAAUAUAACCGUGGUCCUCACCUGUUCCCAUCCUGAUUACCCCAGCUGCUUGGCCGGCCCUCGGAAGUGGAGAUUUUGCUAUUCCUAACAUGCUCUCGUGAUGUUUUGAUAUUUCCUACUGUAGUUCAUGAAAAAUGCAUUGGGGCUUGUCAGGAAUCCCGCUCAGAAAGGGUUCGGGAGCUAAGAGAGUUAUUAGCUGAACGCAGGAGGGCUCUCCUCGGCUGUGGUCCGGACCCCUCCACCUGCCCGGGGGCUGCUGGGGAGUUCAGAUUAGGAAGCUAGAACUUCCUCCCCCGGGGACCCUCCUUUGCAGGAGGGUCUGUGGCUCAGCAUGCAGUAAAAUAUCCACAGCUCUGAGUUUGAAACUCUGAUGAAAUGUGGAUGUACCAAUAUUUGCCAGGGGGAUUGGUAAAAUACCCACGUGAGGACACAGGCCCAUUGUGUGUGACAGCUCCAGGCACCUUCAACCCAACCAAGCAAUAGGACUCCAGGCUUUGAGGGAGUUUCAAGCUAAAUUAUCUGAGACAUUGAAACUGCUACCCAGGGUCAGCCAUGGCCAGGACUGAGGCAGAGGCAGGAGCAGGG